UGGUACUUUUCUUAAGACGUUGCCGGUUUCCUUUCCUAUUUGCAAGUUUCUCGUCAUCAUCUGUCUCCUCAAUUACCACGAAAAAAAAAGAUCCUUUACAACAAUCUCUUCAUUAUCGACAUCUGAGUUGUCAAGAGGUUUCCGGGAGUGAAGAUGAAUUAUAUUGUUCCUAUUUCUGAGUUAUCCAAGAAAAAAGCCACCACUGAGAGCAAAGAAGAAGCUAACUGUAAUCCUCAGAUGCAAUUAGCUAAGUAAAGCAAGAAAGGGAGUGGCAGCAGUGAGCCUGACACGUUACAAAUAUUGAACCAGGAUAGCCAUUAUCAAGUCAGCAAAGAAGAACAGUGAGAUACUUCUUAUGCAUUUCUAUUUUUCUUAUGGAAAACAAAAACUGCACAUUAGUACAUUACAAAUGAUAAGUCUCCCGUCUCCAUGAAAGUUUUCUCAAGUAUUAGUAGUGUAAAUACACCUUUUCCUUGUCGUUUUUGUUUGUAAAAUCAGGACAUCUGAACCACCUAAAUGUUCCUCUAUGCCAUGUACUGAUAUUGGGCAAGAAAGCAAUGUUAAGUAAAAAAAGAAAAGAAAAAGGAGCCAUGAUGAAGAUGGGGAUGCAAAGACUGAACAGACGGAUCAUGAUCUGCGAGACCUAAGCUGUUUAUAGUACCUUUUUUGUUUGUUUCACAAGUCAUAAAUAUGUGUUUUCUACUUUGCUGUUGUUUUCACAUUAGCUCUUUUUAUUUGUAUAUCAGUCCAUCUAAAGAUUCAUCUAUGCCAUCUAGUGAUAUCACGCUAGAAAGCGAUGUUAAGCCCAAGACGAAUAACAGAAGGAAUCGGGGUGUAAGAUGUGGCAAAGACUAAAAACAUGGAACAAGGUUGCUUAGGAGUUGCACCUGAGGAGCAACGUAGUGAUAAGUUGUUUGGGCUAGAAGAUGCUACGCCCAAGGGAAAAAAUAGAAGGGGUCAUGGAGGUGAUGCAGACUGAAAACAUGGAUCAGGAUCAUGUUGAAGUCAAACCAGUGAAUUUGCAAAUUACUGACAAGUGGAUUUUCUAUGUAUUGCAUGUGGAUGUCAUAAUUUGCUUUCAUGUUACUGUUUUCCACUACAGCUCUUGUUAUUUGGUGAAUUGGGUUGUUUAAAGCAUCUAAAAGUUCAUCUGUGCCAUGUACUGGUAACAGACUAGAGAAUGAUGCCACACCUAAGAAAAAGUACAGAAGGAAUCGUGGUGAAGAUGGAGAUGUGAAGAUUAAAAACAAGGAACAACAUGAUCCAACUGAUGACGAUUGAUAACCAAAUGGUUUCCUUUUGUUUGGAAUAAUAUAAUGUCACUAUGUCAGUCCUUACUUCACUAAUAUACAAACUAAAAUUCGUAUCCCAAAUA